rnacentral:sRNA from 1 species
AUUUCUAAAAAUAUCGUAAUACUAAAUAUUAACCCGCGGUAUACCGCGAGCCUAUAUUUUUAUUAAAUAAAAAAUAAUUAAAUAUUUUUUAGGAUGAUUUAAUAAAUUUAUGUUAUUGUUUGAUUUAAAUGUAUAAUUCACCGCGAGACGACAUUUUAUAACUCAAAUUUUAAAGUUUUAAGUUGUAUUUGUUUAUUUUGUUAAAUGUUUAAUAUUGUAUAAUUGUAUUUUGAUUGUUGUUUUUCGGAUUUCACCCGUAAUACACCAUCCCAUAUUAAUAUCGAAUCAAACCCGUCAAUUCUAGGAUUUCGCCCGUGGUAGUAUUUAAUUGUAUAAUUAUAUUUUAAUUGUCAUUCUAGGAUUUCAAUCCUAAUUCUAUCGCAAAUUAUUAUCAACCCAAACCAGUCAAUUCUAAAAUAUCACCCGUAGUACACCAUCCCAUAUUAAUAUCGAAUCAAGUCCGUCAAUUCUACGAUUUCACCCGUGGUAGUAUUUAAUUGUAUAAUUAUAUUUUAAUUGUCAUUCUAAGAUUUCACUCAUAAUUCUAUCGCAAAUUAUUAUCAACCCAAACCAGUCAAUUCUAAAAUAUCACCCGUAGUACACCAUCACAUAUUAAUAUCGAUUCAAACUCGUCAAUUCUAGGAUUUCACUCGUGGUAGUAUUUCAUUGUAUAAUUAUAUUUUGAUUGUCAUUCUAAAAUUUAACUCCUAGUUCUAUCGCAAAUUCUUAUCAACCCAAACAGUCAAUUCUAAAAUUUCACCCGUAGUACAAAGUUUAAAUAUUUAUAAUGUUUAAAUUUCUUAUAAAAGAAUCAAAAUGUGUUUUAAAAAAAUUAAAGUUUUAAGUGUUUUUUUUAAUAUUGUUAAUUUUGUUUAGUGUUUAAGAUUAUAUAAUUAUAUUAUGAUUA